UCAAGAGCUGAGAAGGCAGAUUUUUCUGCCAACGUAUUUUUAUGAUUGGUUGCUUCAAGAGGCUUCAAAAGAAUGCCUGUAUAUGCAUGAUUUGCUUCAAGAGAUGGGAAGGAACAUUGUCUUUGAAGAAUAUCCAAUUAAUGCUGGUAGACGCAGCAGAUUGUGGUCAUUAGAGGAUAUCGAUCUUGUAUUGAAAGAAAAUAAGGGAACGAAACACGUUCAAAGUAUAGUCUUGAAGACACACCGAAGUUUUGAAGCGGAUUGGGAUCCUAACUGCUUUUCAAAGAUGAUAAAUCUUAGAUUGCUGGAGUUGAGUAAGGUGCAGCUUUUGAGAAAGCUCGAGUCUCUUCCAACUGCAUUGAGAUUUCUGAGAUGGGAUGAUUAU